CUAUGGGGAAGUAACUGAUGCCAUGCUUCCAAGAAAAGCUUCUAAGCUUCAGUCAGUAAGGGAUCGUACCCGAAACCGACACAGGUGGUCAGGUCGAGAAGACUAAGGCGCUUGAGAGAACUCUGCUGAAGGAACUAGGCAAAAUAGUACCGUAACUUCGGGAGAAGGUACGCUGUUGAUGGUGAAGGAUUUACUCCGUAAGCUAUCGGCAGCCUCAGAAACUAGGCCGCUGCAACUGUUUAUUAAAAACACAGCACUCUGCAAACACGAAAGUGGACGUAUAGGGUGUGAUGCCUGCCCGGUGCUGGAAGGUUAAUUGAUGGGGUUAGCGAAAGCGAAGCUCUUGAUCGAAGCCCCAGUAAACGGCGGCCGUAACGAUAACGGUCCUAAGGUAGCGAAAUUCCUUGUCGGGUAAGUUCCGACCUGCACGAAUGGCAUAAUGAUGGCGGCGCUGUCUCCAGCAGAGACUCAGUGAAAUCGAAAUCGCGGUGAAGAUGCCGUGUACCCGCGGCUAGACGGAAAGACCCCGUGAACCUUUACUGCAGCUUUGCAUUGAACUUUGACCUUACUUGUGUAGGAUAGGUGGGAGGCUUUGAAGCUCGGACGCCAGUUCGAGUGGAGCCAUCCUUGAAAUACCACCCUGGUAAUGUCGAGGUUCUAACCCAGAUCCGUUAUCCGGAUCGGGGACAGUGUAUGGUGGGUAGUUUGACUGGGGCGGUCUCCUCCUAAAGAGUAACGGAGGAGUACGAAGGUGCGCUCAGCGUGGUCGGAAAUCACGCAAUGAGUAUAAAGGCAAAAGCGCGCUUAACUGCGAGACCGACAAGUCGAGCAGGUACGAAAGUAGGUCUUAGUGAUCCGGUGGUUCUGUAUGGAAGGGCCAUCGCUCAACGGAUAAAAGGUACUCUGGGGAUAACAGGCUGAUACCGCCCAAGAGUUCAUAUCGACGGCGGUGUUUGGCACCUCGAUGUCGGCUCAUCUCAUCCUGGGGCUGAAGCAGGUCCCAAGGGUAUGGCUGUUCGCCAUUUAAAGAGGUACGCGAGCUGGGUUUAGAACGUCGUGAGACAGUUCGGUCCCUAUCUACCGUGGGCGUUGGAGACUUGAGAGGAUCUGCUUCUAGUACGAGAGGACCGAAGUGGACGUACCUCUGGUGUUCGGGUUGUCACGCCAGUGGCACUGCCCGGUAGCUAUGUACGGACGGGAUAACCGCUGAAAGCAUCUAAGCGGGAAGCCUACCUUAAGAUAAGGUCUCCCUGGGAGUUUAACCCCCCUAAAGAGCCGUUAGAGACCAUGACGUU
rnacentral:rRNA from 1 species